GAGCUGGUGUGGGGACAAGGAGGCUGGCACAUGUCUGGCUCUUGAUCUGCAAUAACCCUCCCAAUCUGUGUCUUCCACAGAACAUUCUCUUCUUAAUGAAAGAUUCUUGCUGCAUAUAUAAAAAAAGCUCAGAGGUGAUGACAYCAUUAGAUCUCCAACUAACUACUCUUUUUUUUCAGUUCAUUUGCAAAAUCAGGAGACAUCUGAUCUAUCCAAACACCAGCCCCUGUAGAAGAAAAAGUAACGUGUCCACCAUGAUCUCAUAGUAGAAAAACUGCAAUUCAUUUAAGAGAGCGCCAGGCGGCUGCUGCCCGGGAGGUGGGGACUUCCCAGGGAUGUGCGCUUCUCCCUGGGAAGCACAAACACUUGUUCGCUCCUCAGACAGAUGCUUGAGCACACUCAGACCAGCUGGCUUUGAGAAUGCGGGACAUCAGAAAGAAGAAAGAACUUGCCACCUGCCUGCAGAGACAGCAAACCUCAGCAUGGUCUCUUCCUUCCAGCAGAAGCAUCCCUGGAUGUCAGUAAUCCGWGCACUUUGUUUUUAACACCAGUGGACUUCACUGGAGAGAUGCACGUGGUUGGAUGAGAGCCUGAGCCCUCAACUAUCAGCUCAAGCUGAUGACUACAACCAGGGCUCCAUGACACUGAAGAGCUGAAUCCAUCCCAGAUCCUGGACUGACAAGGCAUUAAUAAAUUGUUAAGGAUUUAUCAAAACUACAGAGGCAAUUAAAAGCAAAUUCUUUGUCAGCAGAAAAGCAACUUUCAACACACAAAAAAUGAAAGGGAAAUAAAAGUUGUGUAUGUUGCUUCAUUGCAGCCAACACCUUGAAA